rnacentral:ncRNA from 1 species
UGCUGAAGUACGGAUAGCUGGCGCUCUGUCGCAGUUUUAUCUGGUAAAGCGAAUGAUUAGAGGUCUUGGGGGCGAAACGCCCUCAACCUAUUCUCAAACUUUAAAUUGGUAAGAAGCCCGACUCGCUCGUUUGGAGCCGGGCAUGGAAUGCGAGUGCCAAGUGGGCCACUCUUGGUAAGCAGGACUGGCGAUGCGGGAUGAACCGAACGCCGGGUUAAGGCGCCCGACGCGACGCUCAUCAGAGCCCACAAAAGGUGUUGGUUGAUAUAGACAGCAGGACGGUGGCCAUGGAAGUCGGAAACCGCUAAGGAGUGUGUAACAACUCACCUGCC